rnacentral:rRNA from 1 species
CUAAUACCGUAUAACAAUCGAAACCGCAUGGUUUUGAUUUGAAAGGCGCUUUCGGGUGUCGCUGAUGGAUGGACCCGCGGUGCAUUAGCUAGUUGGUGAGGUAACGGCUCACCAAGGCCACGAUGCAUAGCCGACCUGAGAGGGUGAUCGGCCACAUUGGGACUGAGACACGGCCCAAACUCCUACGGGAGGCAGCAGUAGGGAAUCUUCGGCAAUGGACGAGAGUCUGACCGAGCAACGCCGCGUGAGUGAAGAAGGUUUUCGGAUCGUAAAACUCUGUUGUUAGAGAAGAACAAGGAUGAGAGUAACUGUUCAUCCCUUGACGGUAUCUAACCAGAAAGCCACGGCUAACUACGUGCCAGCAGCCGCGGUAAUACGUAGGUGGCAAGCGUUGUCCGGAUUUAUUGGGCGUAAAGCGAGCGCAGGCGGUUUCUUAAGUCUGAUGUGAAAGCCCCCGGCUCAACCGGGGAGGGUCAUUGGAAACUGGGAGACUUGAGUGCAGAAGAGGAGAGUGGAAUUCCAUGUGUAGCGGUGAAAUGCGUAGAUAUAUGGAGGAACACCAGUGGCGAAGGCGGCUCUCUGGUCUGUAACUGACG